GGGUGUAAUGGUAGAGCAUCUGCUUGAUAAGCAAAAGGUCCAAGGUUCAAUCCCUGGCAUCUCCA
rnacentral:tRNA from 1 species